AUUUCAAAGCUUGUUUUAGUGCAUUAUGCUAUUUUAC
rnacentral:other from 17 species